CCAAGUAGGUGAGAAAUAGCAAAGGCUGAGGUGGGAAGCUCUGGCCUAAGACCUGCUGCUCUCAAGACCUGCUCUAGUCACCACCCGUGCCUGCUGCAGGCUCUUCUGGAAACCAUGGAACUGCAAGGAGGACCCAGCUCUGCACAAGCCCCAAAACCCGCAGGAGGAGGGGAGAAGGGAAGUGAAACCUCGUUAAAUUGUGGUUCUCAGCCUGUUUGGGAGACCCAUCUCGGUUGGGAUGGAACACCAUCAGAAGACAAGUCAUCCCUCUUCUCUGGGACACCAGCUGGGAUAGGUGAAUCACCCUCUGGAGGUGCCCGUGUCUGUUCGUGGGCUUUGGAGAGUACCUGCAUGUCGAGAUCAGACUGGAUGUGAACUUCCAGUCAGCCAAAUCUAAGCGAGUCUUGCCCACAGUGCUGGCAUCUCCCCGAGGUUUCCAUUUGCAGCAGCACUGUAACAGAUGCUGAGAAUACAUUAAAUGCUUUCCUAAUGUCA